rnacentral:rRNA from 1 species
CCUACGGGUGACAGCAGUGAGGAAUAUUGGUCAAUGGACGCAAGUCUGAACCAGCCAUGCCGCGUGCAGGAAGACGGUUCUACGUGUUGUAAACUGCUUUUGUCCGGGGGUAAACCCCGAUACUUGUCUCGGGAUGACAGUAUCUUACGAAUAAGGAUCGGCUCACUCCGUGCCAGCAGCCGCGGUAAUACGGAGGAUCCGAGCGUUAUCCGGAUUUAUUGGGUUUAAAGGGUGUGUAGGCGGUUUAAUAAGUCUGAGGUGAAAUGUCGGGGCUCAACCGGAGAACUGCCUUAGAAACUGUUGGACUAGAGAGUAGAUGAGGAGAGCGGAACGUAAGGUGUAGCGGUGAAAUGCGUAGAGAUAAGACAGAACACCAGUGGCGAAGGCAGCUUACUAAUCUAUAACUGACGUUGAGGCACGAAAGCGUGGGUAGCGAACAGGAUUAGAUACCCGGGUAGUC